AACUCAGUUUCUUUUCCCUACCCCUGUCCCUCUGUCUCCCUUUCCAUCUCUAGUCAGAGACCAUGGCUCCUCAACCACAGCCAAGACAGGAAGAUGAGUAUCACCUGCUAGAAUGGCUUGCUGUGUAAUGAAAAGAGCUGUGAUGGGGGACUGGUGCGUCCCCCUAUACACCUCUCUAAAAUACAACAGCAGAGUGCCUCUCAUCCCCCACCCCUUUACAGCCCAGAAACCAUUGCUAGAAACUCCAGUAUCGUGAUCAGAUAUUUGAGCUGGGAAGGUGUGUUGUAGAGCCCGAAAGGAGGAUGCGCACCAGCUUCCUCUCUGGUCUGCUUUCUGGGUGUUCAGAAGAAAGUAAGGAGGUAUGACUGCUUCCCCAGCACUCUCUGAACAUAGAGUUCUCUUUUCCAAUAGGUAUAGGUGGGGAAUGCUCAAAUGGCCCCUGAGAGAUGGGCAGUUCCAGAUACGGAAAAAGAAGGCUUUGACCAAAGCAGCAUGGUAUCUCUGACUCAGUUUCAAGGCUUACAGUCACCCCAGUGUCCAAGGCAGAAGCAAGUGCAUUUCUUUCUUUGCAAAGCAAAGAGCCUCUCCACACCUCUGCGGCGAGAUUAACAAGAAGCUGAAGCCAUUUCAGGUGUCUGGUGGAAAUCUAGUCUGCAGAUGUACGCUGCUUUUCAGCCAGCGGUGGUGCACGCCUUUUAUCCCAGCACUCCGGUGGCAGAAACAGGCUGAUCUCUGAGUUAAGACAAGGUCAAGUUCAAGACAGCCAGGGGUAAACAGAGAAACACUGACUCAAAUAAAUAACUGAUAACAAAAAUAAAAAUAAAGGGGGCUGGAGAGAUGGCUCAGUGACUGCUCUUCUAGAGGACCUGAGUUCAAUUCCCAGCAACCACAUGGUGGUUCACAACCAUCUAUAGUGGGAUCUGAUGCCCUCUGUUUUAUGUGUGUCUGAAGACAGCUACAAUGUGCUCAU
rnacentral:lncRNA from 1 species